GAGUCUCACUCUGUCACCCAGGCUGGAGUGCAGUGGCACGAUCUCUGCUCACUGUAAGCUCCGCCUCCCGGGUUCACGCCAUUCUCCUGCCUCAGCCUCCCGAGUAGCUGGGACUACAGGCGCCCCCCACCACACCCAGCCAAUUUUUUGUAUUUUUCAUAGGGACGGGGUUUCACCGUGUUAGCCAGGAUGGUCUUGAUCUCCUCGCCUCGUGAUCCGCCCACCACGGUCUCCCAAAGUGCUGGGAUUACAGGCCCAAACUCGCUUUAAAGAAUAGAAAAUUCAGAAAGACACACACACUAAAAUCAAUCAGGUAUCAUCCCAACAUCCAAGGGUAAGAAUAUUUUGGUAUUUGGUAUUUUUUUCAUAUUACCUCAGAUUCACAGAGCACACCCUGCUUUCUCUGUUUCAUGGCUUUUAUCAACAAUUCUCUUUUCCACCCUAUCCCCAUUAGUACCUGUUGAAAUCUCUCGCCUCAGUUACCUCAAAUAGCAUUCCUCCAGGAAGUGUCACAUACCACUCAGAACCCCACCUGCGCUGGAAGCAAACUCUCCUGCCUUUAUAUUCCUAUAGCACUUUGUAGCUCACGGAUGUCAAUUUUGACACUUUUAAAAAUAUUCCAGUUACGUGUAAAUUCCUGAGGGUAGGGAUUAAAUUUUAGUCUACUGAAGUGUGUCCCCCUACCCUUCUCUCUCUCUCUCUCACUCACAUACACAUACACACAAACACACGUACACAUGCACUCUGUCUCUCUCUCACACACACACUGCAGUGCAAGCACAGCACUUAAGAUGAGCUCCAUCCCGUUUCCUCUCCUGGUAUCACCGUACUCUUACUUUCAGAAUAAAUAACUAUCCUUUAGUCACAGAGGACAUUUCAAUCAUUAGUGGCUUUGGUUGCUCCAUCAUUUGCAAUUAUUCUAGUGCUCUUCUUUCUAUGUGAAUUUUGAAGAUGUUUAAUAUUAUAAUAAAAAUGAAAAGUUUUCACUUAAAUAUCCCUUAUUAUGGGUCAGCUACUUUGGGGAUAGAUGGUUAUUUAAGUUUUCUGAUUCAAUCCAAACUGUGGAAAAGCAUGAUUGGCACUUUUUUACAAAUGUGAACACUGAGGCUUAGCAAGGUAACCUAACUUGUCCAGGGUUGUCUGACUAAUUAGAGGAGGCACUGGGAUUUAACCCAGGGUUACCUGGCUCCAAGACUAUGUGCACCACCUUGAAGCUUCCCAAGCCCCAAGGAGUCCACUUGCCUCUACUCUGGGAGAGUGUGGCCAAUUCACCAGGGGCCCUCAGCCCCACGCCUGGCAGCCACAUCAUUCACCAGAUGAGCCAGCCGGGCCAGCCUCAUGACUGAGGAACAGCUGCCCAGGUGUUAGUAGAGGCUGCAUUCCAGUGACAUUCCUCCUUGGCAGAAACUUCAAAACUAGAGGGAGACAUUACUCAGGCAGGCUGGUAAGGCAUCCCAGGCUUUCAGACCUCAGGUUUGCAAGACAGACUUAACCUGAUGGUAACAUAGAGUGUAAUAAGAAGCAUCAACUGCACUCCUGCCCAUCUUUGGCAGAUGGAGCGCUGGAGAGGGCAGUAGAGCAUGGAGGCUGAUGGGAACCUUCAUCUACUCAGGCCUUGCACGAAGCCCUUGAAGACAGAACUCUGGUUCUUUCACCAGAAUGACCUAGGGACAGGCUUCCCCUCUUCCAUAUGCAAAGCUGCUCCCCUCCUCCUGCUUCUUCUCUGCCUUUUGAGGAAGUCACUUGGGGCAGGGGUGGUGGCUCAGUUGACCUUUCUGCCUGGUGUCUCUCCUGGUAGAAUGCAGACUCUUGGAGCCUCCCUGUUAUGACCGGCAGCCAGGUAGAGGCUGGAUCCUUCAGUUGGGGGACUUUUAGUGGCCCCUGUUGUGGACCUGACCUCACUCUUGGUCUGCAGGUACCCAGAUGGGAAGGGCCCUAGGCAAGCUCAUGGUGUAAGGGAGAGGGGCAGGCAUAUACACAAAGCAAAGUCCAUGAAUCGGUGGAAUAGCAUCAUGCCUAGGAGCGCAAAACCACCCUAAGGUCUAAGGGUCUUGCCACCUAGUAGCUGUGUGGUCACUGGCAAGUCACUUAACCUCUCUGUGCCUCAGCUUCCUGUAAAAAUUUGGAUAACUGCACCCACCUCAUAGGACAAUUUUGUAAGGAUUAAAUGAGUUAACAUGAGAAGAGCCAUUUGGAACAGGGCUGGUCUGCAGCCUGUUCUGUCUCUGUGUUAGCUCUCAGCACCAAGUGCUCCAGGUGCCACAGACACGGAGUCAGGUGACCAGGAGGGACUGAAACUAGGAGUGGCAGGGCCGAGGGGUCACUAUGAUGGUCAACAAAGACUCCAAAAGGAAGUGGUGCUUAAACCAAACCUUGAAGUCUGAGUUGUUGACAGUGAGUGGGGGAACAGAGGGACAGAGGCUGACCCAUGAGGGCAACAGGACAUGGUUUGGAUUCACCAGAGCCCAAGAGUGAGGUUGGGAGAGAGGGGGCUGGAGAGGGGCACAGGGGCUGAGCCCAGAGGUCCAUGAAGGCCAGCACAUGCUUAGAAAGUUGGCAGUGGCCCAGGCAGCAUGGCUGGGAGAGGGCCAGGGUGGAGGCAGGAGAACUAGUUUGGACAGGAGGUGGUUGUGAGUCCAGAGCAGAGAUGAGCAAUGGUGAGGGUUGAUCUGGGCAGCAAGGCACUUGGGCAAUAGAAGGCUCAGGCCUCUGUGGCGCCAAGUGUGGCAAUGAGGCAGAGGAAGGCCUCAGGAUGUGGCUCAGUCUGGCUGGUGGGACCCAGGGGAUGGGCUACUUUGUUCUCAGAGAGAAGGGGCUGAGAAAAAAGAAAAAGAGGAGACAAUGGACAUGCAGUGAGCACCUGUGACGUGCUAGGUGCUAGGACGGAUGGUGUUCACUUAACCCUCAAGCCAUCUCUCCAAGGUGAGAAUAAAAGUCCUCCCCAAACAGGAAACUGAGGCCCAGAGGGCAUCCGUGACUUGCUGAAAUUCACACAGCCUGGAAGUGUGGGCUCCGGCUCUCUGACUUCUAGUUCUUCAGGCUGCCUGUUUAUCUUCAGCUGUCUUCAGGCAAACCAGCCCGUGGGAGGACAGCCCCACGCCUUCGCCCGUGUGAGUGUGCCCCAGCAGAAACACUGCUGUUGAGUCAGACGAUACAAACCGACAUCGCCUCACGUGACUUACAGAUAUUUUCAUUUUUGCUUACUUUUACUCAGCCAAGAACUUCAAAGCAGCAUCAUUCCUGGAGGAUUUGUUAAUCGACGUGUCACAGGUGAGCCUAUGAGCAGGAAGGAAAUGGGCUCAGAGACCAAAACAUCUGUCCCCUGUAUUUCUUGCCAGGUUCCGGAGCUGAGACUCCUGGGGCUCACCAGGAGCCUGGGCUUCCCUCCACUUUGAAGGGCUUGACCACCCCGGCAUGGGCUGGAGCUUAGACCGUUGGCCCAAUCCUUCCUUUGGGGUGGGGGAAGGUGUCCGCAGGAAGCAUUUCCAGCUCUGGGAAGGUGCCUCAGUAGCUCGACCGUAUAGCAGGGCCCCUGGGAGGAGGAGAACAGUUCAUCAGUGCCUGCCAGGUGGUCACUGCUUAUGUCUCACAGAAACACGAAUGUCAUUGUCCCGGUGAGGAUGAAAAACCAGGGGCUCAGAGAUGUUAAAUAAACUGGCCCAGGUCACACAGCUAGGACGGCAUCGAUCCGACAUUCCUACAGGUCUCGGGAGCCCCCCCUCGGCCCCUCUCCAGUCCAGAGAGAGGCACUUGCAGCGCUUAUAAAAGUCUUUACUUGUUUGAAGCCAAGUUCCUCUCAGGUGUUGCUUUUUUCUGUUUCUUUUCUUUUUUUAGGCCUUGGGGGUUGGGGUGGGAGACCAAAGGUGGAGUUGUGCUAUUUUACACAACUGACUUGGCUUGCACGUCAUCUAAACACCAAGUUCCGUUCUCAGAGGAAGUGAGAGGUGUCCAAUUCGGUCAUGCAGAACGCAGCUGGGCUGCUCGAAACGAAACGAAGCGGCUACUCCGAAGGAGGUGUUGUCCGUGGGCCGGUCCGGGUUGAGUCAGAGCAGACGCCACUCCCACGUCAAAAAUACCAGGCCACUGUCCCAUGGAGCUGGGCUAUUCACUCAGGUCAUAUUCACCACUUCUGAAAUCCACAUUAAAGGAAAAAAGAAAAGGGAAGGGAAAGGGAAAAGGAAAGGAAAGGAAGCAGAAACCAGAAUGGCGACAAGGAGAGCCACCCAGUCAGAGCAGCGCCUGUACACCUCUGUAGGGCAUGCCGGGCACCCGACGGCCGCAGGUCCGGGCAGUGCUUGUGCCUAUCAGGCCAUCUCAGCCUUGGUUAUAUUCAGGACCCAGGAGCAUAUCUAUGUUGUGUGGGGCCCAAAAACUUACAAUUUGGGACACUCCUUAAUAAAAAGAAUACAAAAGUAUGAAAACAAGAUUAAGCACAAAAGUGGGUAUUUACCUAGGAGGAGGGGGAGGGGAAUCACAGCAAAUUGCUGACAUCCUACAGAUUGGCCCCUUCCUUCAGCAAUCUAUGUAGGCAGUUUACCAGAAAUGCACACACAGCAACACUUCCUGUUUGUAACCUGCCUUCCCUUCCCUGCGUAGCACACUCCCAGCAUCUCCCUGCUCUCUUGGGCAACGGAAGCUUGUGUCUCUUCAUCUUUACGCCAUGUGAAGAAGGUCCUUGCUUCCCCUUCACCUUCUGCCCUGAUUGUAAGUUUCCUGAUGCCUCCCAGCCGUGUGGAACUGUGAGUCAAUUAAGCCUCUUUCCUUCAUAAAUUAACCAGUGUCGGGUAGUGUCUUUAUAGCAGUGCGAGAAUGGACUAACAUGAGUGCCCAACACUGAGCCCUCAGCAAGCUCCAAGCUUCUUUGAGUGUCUGCCAUUGCUUCCUGGAAACCUGGGGGUGAAUGGAUCCUAGUUGUUCCAGUCUUGGGUACAUUAACCUGAUAUUUUAUUAUUAACUGUCCAGGCAGUAAGUGUACCCGAGCCAUUGACUCUUCCAAGAGUUUAUUCUGUUCCACUGCGAUGUGGUCCUCAGGGGAUGGUGAAUAUCUAAUGAUUGCCCAGCUCUGUGUUCCUGAUCUAGUUUGGAUAUUUGUCCUCAAAAUCACAUGAUGGAAUUUAACCCCCAGUGUUGAAGUUGGGGCCUGGUGGGAGGUAUUUAGGUCAUGGGGGUAGCUCCCUCAUGGCUUGGUGUUGUCUUCAUGAUAGUAAGUAAGUUCUAGUGGGAUCUAAUUGUUUAAAAAUAUGUGGGUUAGGCUUUGAAAAGCCCUUAUCUUGCUCCUCCCCUUCUCUCUCUUGCUCCUGCUUUUGCCAUGUGAUGUGCCGACUCCCGUUUGCCUUCCUCCAUGAGUAAAAGCUACCUGAGACCUACCAAGAAGCUGAGCAGAUGCUGGCACCAUACUUGUAUAACCUGCAGAACCGUGAGCCAAUUAAACCUCUUUUCUUUAUAAAUUA